AGAGUGAACGCUGGCGGCAGGCCUAACACAUGCAAGUCGAACGGCAGCACAGAGGAGCUUGCUCCUUGGGUGGCGAGUGGCGGACGGGUGAGGAAAACGUCGGAAUCUGCCUAUUUGUGGGGGAUAACGUAGGGAAACUUACGCUAAUACCGCAUACGACCUACGGGUGAAAGCGGAGGACCUUCGGGCUUCGCGCAGAUAGAUGAGCCGACGUCGGAUUAGCUAGUUGGCGGGGUAAAGGCCCACCAAGGCGACGAUCCGUAGCUGGUCUGAGAGGAUGAUCAGCCACACUGGAACUGAGACACGGUCCAGACUCCUACGGGAGGCAGCAGUGGGGAAUAUUGGACAAUGGGCGAAAGCCUGACGCAGCAACGCCGCGUGAGGGAUGAAGGCCUCGGUUGUAAACCUCUUUUUUCAGGACGAUAAUGACGGUACCUGACGAAUAAGUCAACGGCUAACUACGUGCCAGCAGCCGC
rnacentral:rRNA from 1 species